CGGAGGAAAAGUUACUAACAAGGAUUCCCCUAGUAACUGCGAGUGAAGCGGGAUGAGCUCAAAUUUAAAAUCUGGCGUCUCUGGCGUCCGAGUUGUAACCUAGAGAAGCGUUUUCAGCCGCCGGCCGUGGACAAGUCCCUUGGAACAGGGCGUCAUAGAGGGUGAGAAUCCCGUCCUUGCCACGACACCGUGUGUCUAUGUGAUACGCUCUCGAAGAGUCGAGUUGUUUGGGAAUGCAGCUCAAAAUGGGAGGUAUGUUCCUUCUAAAGCUAAAUAUUGGCGAGAGACCGAUAGCGAACAAGUACCGUGAGGGAAAGAUGAAAAGCACUUUGGAAAGAGAGUUAAACAGUACGUGAAAUUGCUAAAAGGGAAGCGCUUGAAGUCAGUCGCGUCUUUGGGGAUUCAGCCUUGACCGGUGCAUUUCCUCUUCGACGGGCCAACAUCGAUUUCCGCCGCGGGAAAAGGGCGCGAGGAAUGUGGCAGCCUCGGCUGUGUUAUAGCCUUGCGUCGUACGCCGUGGUGGGGAUCGAGGACCGCAGCUUCGGCUUAGGAUGUUGGCGUAAUGGCUUUAAGCGACCCGUCUUGA
rnacentral:rRNA from 1 species